AACGAACGCUGGCGGCAUGCCUAACACAUGCAAGUCGAACGAGAGCUUCGGCUCUAGUGGCGCACGGGUGCGUAACGCGUGGGAAUCUGCCCUUGGGUUCGGAAUAACAGUUGGAAACGACUGCUAAUACCGGAUGAUGACGUAAGUCCAAAGAUUUAUCGCCCUGGGAUGAGCCCGCGUCGGAUUAGCUAGUUGGUGGGGUAAAGGCCUACCAAGGCGACGAUCCGUAGCUGGUCUGAGAGGAUGAUCAGCCACACUGGGACUGAGACACGGCCCAGACUCCUACGGGAGGCAGCAGUGGGGAAUAUUGGACAAUGGGCGCAAGCCUGAUCCAGCAAUGCCGCGUGAGUGAUGAAGGCCUUAGGGUUGUAAAGCUCUUUUACCCGGGAAGAUAAUGACUGUACCGGGAGAAUAAGCCCCGGCUAACUCCGUGCCAGCAGCCGCCGUAA
rnacentral:rRNA from 1 species